GUGGCCGGCACCGGAGCGGCUGGGUCGGGGGUCGUGCUGGAGGGGUUGCCGGGGUGGAGGCAGCGGCUGCGGGGAGGCGUCCUCCUCGGGUGGCUCGGGGCAAGCUUGGGGACCCGCGUGGGGGGAGAGGGGGUGCUGCUGCGGAACCCGCCGGCCCCCCCUUGCGGCUCCAGAUGCCCCCAGAAACCCUUCCCACUGCCGUGCUUCUGUUUCCCUUCUAUGAAGUGAACACCUGCGGGCCUGCCUCUCCACGGCAGCAGAUCCAUAUGUCAGAGCUCUUUGGAAACUAAAGCGCAGGGCACCUCCAGGGAAUAGGUGUUAUUGAUAGAAGUGGGGCGGGGGCAGGAGUGAGGCUUCGCCCACUUUGGGGCCCUCUCUCUUUGGGAAAGGAGGUGAUCCCGAGGCGAAGGCGCAGAUCGAUAACCUGCAUAUUGGGGUGCGCGUCAGGGUGGACACCGCAGCAGGCGCCUUUCCUCCCUCCCCACGUCCUGAGUCAGCUCUGCGCCGCUGGAGCGAAGGCCGGGCCCCGCUGGCCCACUUUGGGGCCCUGAAGUCAGUUGCAUCAUCUAUUCUCCUAGCAUCCCUAGAGGUUCUUUUGGGAUAAGACUUACCCAGAGCCUGAUGAAAAAAUGAGGCAUAGUAAACUUCAGGUUAAAGAGCUUCAUCACUCAACUCUUGGAGAAAAUUAAUACUAAUAUUUUUCCUUUGAAAAGUGUUAAGCAUCUAAAAGUAUAUUUAACAUUAUCUGACUAAUUUAUCUGACAAAUUUUAAUAAAACUAUGCUUCCUGGGUUCA
rnacentral:lncRNA from 1 species